rnacentral:misc_RNA from 1 species
GUAAUCAAUCUCAUUUACUUUGACAUGAGAAGAACAAACCAAUCUUUGAUCUUCAACAUCAUUCCACAGUAGUAAUCUUUUCCCAAACAUGCCUUUAUAAUUUCAGAUACAAUCUUCAUAUUUAUUUUGUUUUUACAUUAGAUUUUCUUUUAAACUAAUUAGAAAUCUAAAUUCAAUAAAAAAUACAGUAGCCUUGCUGAGUGAAACAUAAAUUUUAGGUUGCUUACCUUUUUGUCUAACUUCUCUGAGA